rnacentral:rRNA from 1 species
UACGUAGGCAGCAAGCGUUGUUCGGAAUUACUGGGCGUAAAGAGUGCGUAGGCGGUGCUCUAAGUUCGGUGUGAAAUCUCCCGGCUUAACUGGGAGGGUGCGCCGGAAACUGGAGUGCUUGAGCGCGGGAGAGGAAAGCGGAAUUCCUGGUGUAGCGGUGAAAUGCGUAGAUAUCAGGAGGAACACCUGUGGUGUAGACGGCUUUCUGGACCGUAGCUGACGCUGAGACACGAAAGCGUGGGUAGCAAACAGG